UACGUAGGGGGCAAGCGUUGUCCGGAUUUACUGGGCGUAAAGAGCGCGUGGGCGGCCGCUUAAGUGUGGCCUGAAAGCCCCCGGCUCAACCGGGGAAGGUGGCUGCAAACUGGGCGUCUUGAGGGCGAUAGAGGAGAGUGGAAUUCCUGGUGUAGCGGUGAAAUGCGUAGAUAUCAGGAGGAACACCGGUGGCGAAGGCGGCUCUCUGGGUCGGACCUGACGCUGAGGCGCGAAAGCGUGGGGAUCGAACGGG
rnacentral:rRNA from 1 species